rnacentral:lncRNA from 10 species
CUGUAUUCUUUCGAGCAUUCUUGUUGCUUUGUUUGCUUCCUGAGUCUAUGCACCAUGAUUGGAGGAGGGCUGCCUCUCAUCCCAGGAAACCCACGUACAGAUGUUAGGCUUCCUCCAUGCAGACAAUCAGGGGUAUAGAAAUAUGGAGUGUUUAACCAUCUGGUUUUCAGCAGUGAGGUGGAAAUCAAAACCAUUUGAGCAAAUGAGUGUCCUAGGGGAAGUGGAAUGAAGAAUUGAGCUUCAGUGGCUGCUGAGACAUAAGCCAUCCCUAGCGGACUUGGCUGAGGCAGACUAUGUUGUUUAUAGAGGAACCGGCUCAUUGUCCUCUGGCCCUGGCCACAGCAAUCGAGGGAGGGGCACAUUUUUUGGCCCUUGAAUGAACAAUGCUUUUUCCUUCCUUUGUUGAGGGGUCUAGGUCUGUGGUCCUUACUUAUUGUUUAAAAAAAGAAAAAACAAACCUCUGAGUAAAUAUUGGGAAGGUGAAGGGUGGAGGGGAUGGUUUUCUGAGAUUCUUUCCAACACUGAAGGGCUAUAUCUCACUAGUAAAAACAAGAGGACCCUCACCCUCACCCUGUAACUUGUUGCUACCUGAAGGUGUCUGUUCGCUUACCUACCUGUGUGCUCCUGCCCAGCAAGCCCGGCCUGCCCUGCCCUGGCCAUUGGCCUUGCUGAGCUGCUUCUCAGUGCCCUGGAGGCAUUCACACCUGGCCUGAGAUAAGUCUGCCCUUUUUGAAGGUGAGUGCGGCUCCCUGGAAUGUGUGGUAUCCCAGCAAAUAGCAAGAUUAGAGGUGCCCAUUUUGACUGGGAGCUGGACAGCUGCCCAAGUUCUAGAAAACCAGCAGUGCUGAAACAACAAUUGGCUCAGGGCCUCAGGGGAGCCGGCCUGGGAAACCAUCUCCUGUCCCAGGGCAAGAGAACAUUUGUUACAGAUUUUUUAAAGAUUUACUUCAUUUAUUAUGUGUAGGUUGUUUUGACAUUUUUAGGCAUAAGCCAUAAAGGUAACUAGAGUUAGAUUUGUGUGAUUAUUUGGGUUUCAUACCAAUGUUAGAGUUAUU